rnacentral:ncRNA from 1 species
UAUAAGUUUGGCUCUGGCUUAUUAAUAUAACAAAGACUAAAAAAUACACAUGGUUUUUAUUAAAAGCGGUGAGGAUAAAAGCUUUAAAAUAACUAUAUAAAACAUAUAUUAUAUUUAUUCUUUUAAUGGUAUUAUAAAUUACAUAAUGCUUUGAUACGUUCCACUAACACCAGUGAUUAAGGUUAAACAAAAAGCGUCAGCUUGUUUUAAUUUAGUUAUAAGGACUGGUUAACUUGGUGCCAGCAUCCGCGGUUAUACCAAGAUGUUCGAGUUAUAUCUUUUAAGGUAAAAAGACAAUUAAAUAAAUUAAAAGUCAUUUGAUUCUUUAUUUAAAAGUUAAAUUUGAACAUAAAGAAAAAUUUUAUUAAUGUCUUAAAAUAUUGAGUUUGUGAAAAUCUUGAGGGAAACUGGGAUUAGAUACCCCACUAUUCUUGAUUGUAAACUGAUUUUAUCUACCAGAGUACUAUGAAUAUUUUAAUUUAAAACUCAAAGAGCUUGGCGGUGUUUUAGACUUCUUAGGGGAACCUGUCUCAUAAUCGACAAUCCACGAUAAACCUAACCUUAAUUAGCUUAUAGCAGUAUGUAUACCAUCGUCGGCAGGUAACUUUUAAAAAUUUAGGAGUUAGCAACUUAAAUAAAUUAAAUUAAUACGUCAGAUCAAGGUGCAGCUCAUGUUAAGGAGAGGAUGGGUUACAUUUAACAAUUAUAAAACGAACAGAAAAUUGAAAUAUUUUCUCGAAGGCGGACUUAAAAGUAAUAUGAUAUAUAAAAAUCUUUUGAAUAAAGCUCUGAAACGUGCACACAUCGCCCGUCGCUCUCGUUGAAAAAUGAGAUAAGUCGUAACAUAGUAGGAGUAAUGGAAAUUGCUCCUGGCUGAAA